CAGCAGCCCCGGUAAUUCCAGCUCUGUAAGCGUAUACCAAAGUUGUUGCAGUUAAAACGCUCGUAGUCGGAUUUUGGCGUCUGACUUGGGUCGUCCUCGCGGAUGCUCUCAGGUUGGGCGCCUUUGUGGAUGGGAGUCUGGUGGUGCUUAAUUGGAUCGCCAGUCUGCCGCCACCGUUUACUGUGAAAAAAUUAGAGUGUUCAAAGCAGGCGAUUGCCCUGAAUACAUUAGCAUGGAAUAAUAGAAUAGGACCCGGUCCUAUUUUGUUGGUUUGUUUGAAUCGGGUAAUGAUUAAGAGGGACGGUUGGGGGCAUUCGUAUUCCGACGUCAGAGGUGAAAUUCUUGGAUUGUCGGAAGACGAACAGCUGCGAAAGCGUCUGCCAAGGACGUUUUCAUUGAUCAAGAACGAAAGUAAGGGGAUCGAAGACGAUCAGAUACCGUCGUAGUCUUUACUAUAAACGAUGAGGACUGGAGAUCGGAUAAGACUGAUAUAUGGCUUAUCCGGCAUCCUUCGAGAAAUCAAAGUGUUUGCUUUCUGGGGGGAGUAUGGUCGCAAGGCUGAAACUUAAAGGAAUUGACGGAAGGGCAUCACCGGGUGUGGAGCCUGCGGCUUAAUUUGACCAAACACGG
rnacentral:rRNA from 1 species